UACGGGGGGGGCAAGCGUUGUUCGGAAUUACUGGGCGUAAAGGGCUUGUAGGUGGCCAACUAAGUCAGACGUGAAAUCCCUCGGCUUAACUGGGGAACUGCGUCUGAUACUGGAUGGCUUGAGAUUGGGAGAGGGAUGCGGAAUUCCAGGUGUAGCGGUGAAAUGCGUAGAUAUCUGGAGGAACACCGGUGGCGAAGGCGGCAUCCUGGACCAACACUGACACUGAGGAGCGAAAGCCAGGGGAGCAAACGGG
rnacentral:rRNA from 1 species